GAUGAUGUCAAGGUCAUGGUGCUAUGCCUUCAUGAAAUCCAACCAGAAUAUGCUAUCAAAGUGCUCAUUGAUAAAUCUCUCAUAAAGAUUGAAGGAGAUUGUGUGAUAAUACAUGACUUGAUAGGAGAUAUGGGUAAAGAGAUUGUUCGUCCAGAAUCACAAGAUGAGCCUGGUGAAUGUAGCAGGUUAUGGUUCUAUCGAGACAUUCUUCAAGUCUUACAACAUGACACAGGAACUAAUAAAGUUGAGGCCAUAGUUCUACACUUACCUCAAGGUAAAGAAGUACAAUGGAGUGGAGAGGCAUUUGUGAAGAUGAAGAAUCUCAAAAUGCUUGUGAUAAAAAAUGCAUGCUUUUCUAAAGGCCCCACAUAUCUCCCAAUAGUUUAAGGUGGCUGGAGUGGAAAAAGUAUCCCUUUAGAUUUUUACCACUUGAUUUUUGUCCAAUAGAACUUGUCUAUCUCAACUUGUCUUAUAGUUAUGUUGAGAUGCUCCAACCAUUUGAUAAGAAGUUCGAGAGUUUAAGAGAGAUGAAUUUUAAAAGUUGUAAAUUCUUACGAGGAAUACCAGAUUUAUCAGGAGCUUCUAGUUUAACAGAAUUGUGUUUUGAUGAUUGUACAAACUUAUUUGAAAUUCAUGAUUCAGUUGGAUAUUUAAACAAACUUGAAAGAUUGAGUGCCAUGCGAUGCAAAAACUUGAAGAUUUUGCCACGUGGCCUUAGCAUGGCAUCACUUGAACAUCUCAACUUGUAUGGAUGUUCAAGUGUACAAUAUUUCCCCAAAAUAUUGGUGAAGAUGACAAAGAUGAGAACACUUGAAUUGGAUAGGACGGCCAUUGUAGAGUUACCAUCUUCAAUUUGCAUUCUCAUUGGGCUCGGAAUGUUAAACAUGGAGGAGUGUCAUCAUCUUAAGCAACUACCAGCUAGCAUUUUCAUGCUGCCAAACCUUUGGUCACUAAGCACAAAUUUUUGUAAAGGGAUGAGAUAUUUGAAGAUAUGUGAAGAUGGAGAAGAAGCAAGUAUAGACUGCAGGAAUGAGUCUUCAAAAAUGGAAUAUUUUUAUUUUUCAAAUUGCAACUUGUCAAAUGACUCUUGCACUAUGUCUUUCUUACUUCCUAAAUUUGAUACAGUUGGAUCAAGUGGUGGAGAAUUCACAACUCUUCCUGCAUGCAUGGAAGAAUGUUACUGUAUGAAAUAUCUUUUCGUUGAUAAUUGCAAGCGGCUUCAACAUAUUUUAGGGAUGCCGCCAAGCCUAGAAAAAUUUAGCGCCAUAAAUUGCGCAUUAUUGACUACGAUUUCUAAAGGCAGAGUAUUGGAUCAGGAAGUCUACCAUAAACAAGGAAAACUAAAAUAUGUUUUUCCAGAAAAAGAGUUCCCAGAAUUUCUCGACACAGUUAGCCACAAUCCCCCUCUGUCAUUUUGGAUUCGUGAAGAGUUCCCAAUGAUUCUGAUAUGUAUUCUUGUUAAAGACCUCCUAGAUUCUCUCUUCUACCUUAAUAUCUCCGUGUUGAUAAAUGGUGAUAGCCAAGAAUUUCCUUCUGAUCAGUGGUUCUCAACAUCAAAGGUUAAUCAUUUAUAUAUGUUUGAUCUAUACAGCAUUAUUAGCAAGGCUGAUCUGAAACUCUCCCAAUCUAAGAGGAAUGCCUGGAAUUAUGUGGAGAUUUUCAUCAAUAAUUCUACACCCGGACUGGAACUUGUUCCAAAAAUUUAUUUAGGGGCUGCAGUAUGCAAACAAGACAUUAAGUUUAACAAUAUCAGCUUUUUGAGACCAGGAUCAAAAUAUGAUGUAUUUAUGAGUGUUGAUCAAGACAGCCAUUUCGACUCUUUCACGGGCAUGUUAUGUAGAGCUUUGUAUGGGAGCAAGAUUAAUGUUUUCAAACGAGUUAAAGACUUGGGAUGGGUAGAAGAUAUUUGCCCAACAGUGGUCCAGGCAAUUGAGGAGUCAAGGAUUUCAAUUAUCGUAUUCUCUGAAUUCUAUGCUUAUUACACGUGGUGUCUUGACACACUUGCUAUGAUCAUUGAUUGUAUGAAAACAAAGGGCAAAUUGGUUUUCCCAAUUUUCUACCAUGUAGACCCUUCAGAUGUAAGACAUCAAUCAGGAAGUUUUGGAUUAGCAAUGGACGAUCAUGAAAGCAUGGAAAAGGGGCAAAAGUGGAAGUUGGCUUUGUCUGAAGCAGCUCACUUGCGUGGUUGGAGCAUAACAGCAGAAAUGGACAUAGAUGGCAUUAUCCCACGCAUUGUUGAAGUUGUUUCUCGUCACCUUCGCCUAGAACAUUUAACAAAAUCAGUAGAGUCAACUGGGAAUACUAUGGGUCAUCGAGAACAACCAGGAGAUAGAUUAGAGCUCGAAGAUGGUAUUUAUUGGGAUUUAAAUUCAAUGAAAUCCACAGACUUAACAGAGAGCAUCAGGGGUCAUCAAGGACCGGGACAUGAUGUAUUGAUCCUGAGUUUUGAAGAAGCCUGUAUCAAUUCUGACAUUUUCGUGGAUGAUCUAUAUAAUGCUUUAUGUGAGAACAAUAUCAAUGCUUUUAAAGAUGUUGGGAGCUUUGGAUGGAGUGAAGAUUUGGACCCAACAGCUCUUAGAGCAAUUGAAGAGUCAAGGAUUUCAAUUAUUGUAUUCUCUGAAUUCUAUGCAUAUUCUGUAUGGUGUCUUGACGCACUUGUUAUGAUCCUCGACUGUAUGAAAACAAAAGGCAAAUUGGUUUUUCCCGUUUUCUACAAUGUAGACCCUUCGAUGGUAGGACGUCAAACAGGAAGAUUUGAAUUGGCAAUGGCCGAGCAUGAAGAUAGAUUAAAGGAUAACAUGGAAAAGGUGAAGAAGUGGAAGUUGGCUUUGUCUGAAGCAGCUCAGUUGCUCAGUUGGAGCUUAGAAAAAGGGGAAGAAAUUGAUGUUAUCCCGCAUAUUGUUGAAGAAGUUGCUUGUCACCUUUGUUUUGAACGUCUUUCAAAAUCUACAGAAUCAACUGAUGAGAUCAUUAUAGAACAACCAGAAGAUAGGGAAGAGCUUGAAGAUGACGACCCUUGUCAGGAUUCAAGUUCAAUGAAAUAUAUAGGGUUGACAAAGAGCAUUCGGAGCAACCACAUCAUGGUAAGGGUUUCCCUGAUGAUGGUCAAUUGCAAGGCAAGAACUAAGGCAACUUUCAUAAGAACAGUUUAGAUAAGACCAACAAAAGGAAAGAUGGUCAGUCUGACAAUUUUGAUCGUCCUAAACCGGAUAGCAAGAAAGGUAUAUGCUCUUGGUUUUGUAUAAAUCAUGGAUGGAGAAGAAGAAGAAUAUAGAUGCUCUCAACGAAACGCAAAUGAAGAUGAUGAAAGAGGAGUGCAAGCGGGGAAAUGAUCUUAUUCUUGAUUUAAUUAUUUUUUGUUUGAACAGUUUAAAUUACAUUUAAAAAUGAUUUAGUGUAAAAUUACAUUGACUUGUUAAUGGUUCAAGGUCUUAGCAUAUGUAAAAUUACAUUGUAAGGCUUUAA